rnacentral:rRNA from 1 species
AUGAACGCUAGCGGCAGGCUUAACACAUGCAAGUCGAGGGGCAGCAUACCCGGUGACGGGUGAUGGCGACCGGCGGAAGGGUGAGUAACGCGUGAGCAACAUACCCGUAUCAGUGGGAUAAUACAGGGAAACUUGUUCUAAUAUCACAUAAUAUUAUUCAGAGGCAUCUUUGGAUAAUUAAAGUUCAGGCGGAUACGGAAUGGCUCGCGUGACAUUAGCUAAAUGGUAGGGUAAAGGCCUACCAUGGCUAUGAUGUCUAGGGGUUCUGAGAGGGAGGUCCCCCACACUGGAACUGAGACACGGUCCAGACUCCUACGGGAGGCAGCAGUGAGGAAUAUUGGACAAUGGAUGAAAAUCUGAUCCAGCCAUGCCGCGUGCAGGAAGGCGGCCCUAUGGGUUGUAAACUGCUUUUGUACGGGAGCAAUAAGGUCUACGAGUAGAUUGAUGAGAGUACUGUACGAAUAAGCAUCGGCUAACUCCGUG